rnacentral:rRNA from 1 species
UAGUGGAGUGAUUUGUCUGGUUAAUUCCGAUAACUAACGAGACCUUAACCUGCUAAGUAGCGGUUUUACAACUUGUUGUAAAUCAUACUUCUUAGAGGGACUUUGUAUGUUUAAUACAAGGAAGUUUGAGGCAAUAACA